rnacentral:rRNA from 1 species
UUACCCGGAGAGACAGCAGAAUGAAGGUCAAGCUGAAGACUUUACCAGACAAGCUGAGAGGUGGUGCAUGGCCGUCGCCAGCUCGUGCCGUGAGAUGUCCUGUUAAGUCAGGUAACGAGCGAGAUCCCUGCCUCUAGUUGCCACCAUUACUCUCAGGAGUAGUGGGGCGAAUUAGCGGGACCGCCGCAGUUAAUGCGGAGGAAGGAAGGGGCCACGGCAGGUCAGUAUGCCCCGAAACUCUGGGGCCACACGCGGGCUGCAAUGGUAGCGACAAUUGGUUUCGAAUCCGAAAGGAUGAGGUAAUCCACAAACGCUACCACAGUUAUGACUGAGGGCUGCAACUCGCCCUCACGAAUAUGGAAUCCCUAGUAACUGCGUGUCAUUAUCGCGCGGUGAAUACGUCCCUGCUCCUUGCACACACCGCCCGUCGUUUCAUUGAAGUGAGCUUUUAGCGAGGUGACGUCUAAUUGGCGUUAUCGAACUUGAGGUUCGUGACAAGGGAAAAGUCGUAACAAGGU